UGAGACAAUGACCAGGAUAAAAAUGUUGAGCGUGAAAGUAAAGAUGGGACUGCUAUGCUUCUCCAAAAGGUUUCUCGAUGAAUGUCUCCAAUGACAUUUGUUUUACUAAGGGAUUUCGAUAAAAUAACCAACUUAUCCAAUUUGGACGCGACGAAGAUUUUCAAAAGCUUGUGCUACUGCUAAUUAGCCUAUCAUUAAGCCUAUUAUUUGACAAUUUAAGAAAGGGAAGAAAGGAACAAGAU
rnacentral:lncRNA from 1 species